AGAGUUUGAUCAUGGCUCAGGAUGAACGCUGGCGGCGUGCUUAACACAUGCAAGUCGAACGGUGAACUUGGGAGCUUGCUCCUGGGGAAUCAGUGGCGAACGGGUGAGUAACACGUGAGUAACCUGCCCCAGACUCUGGGAUAAGCGUUGGAAACGACGUCUAAUACCGGAUACGAGCUUCAGCCGCACGGCUAGGAGCUGGAAAGAAUUUCGGUCUGGGAUGGACUCGCGGCCUAUCAGCUAGUUGGUGAGGUAACGGCCCACCAAGGCGACGACGGGUAGCCGGCCUGAGAGGGUGACCGGCCACACUGGGACUGAGACACGGCCCAGACUCCUACGGGAGGCAGCAGUGGGGAAUAUUGCACAAUGGGCGAAAGCCUGAUGCAGCAACGCCGCGUGAGGGACGACGGCCUUCGGGUUGUAAACCUCUUUUAGUAGGGAAGAAGCGAAAGUGACGGUACCUGCAGAAAAAGCACCGGCUAACUACGUGCCAGCAGCCGCGGUAAUACGUAGGGUGCAAGCGUUAUCCGGAAUUAUUGGGCGUAAAGAGCUCGUAGGCGGUUUGUCACGUCUGCUGUGAAAACUGGAGGCUCAACCUCCAGCCUGCAGUGGGUACGGGCAGACUAGAGUGCGGUAGGGGAGAUUGGAAUUCCUGGUGUAGCGGUGGAAUGCGCAGAUAUCAGGAGGAACACCGAUGGCGAAGGCAGAUCUCUGGGCCGUAACUGACGCUGAGGAGCGAAAGCAUGGGGAGCGAACAGGAUUAGAUACCCUAGUAGUCC
rnacentral:rRNA from 1 species